rnacentral:rRNA from 1 species
UACGGAGGGUGCAAGCGUUAUCCGGAUUCACUGGGUUUAAAGGGUGCGUAGGUGGCCUUGUAAGUCAGUGGUGAAAGCCCGGAGCUCAACUCCGGAACUGCCAUUGAUACUGCUUAGCUUGAAUCAGGUCGAGGUGGAUGGAAUAUUACAUGUAGCGGUGAAAUGCUUAGAUAUGUAAUAGAACACCAAUUGCGAAGGCAGUUCACUAGGCCUGUAUUGACACUGAGGCACGAAAGCGUGGGGAUCAAACAGG